rnacentral:rRNA from 1 species
AGCAGUCGCCGGGUAAUACGAAGGGUGCAAGCGUUACUCGGAAUUACUGGGCGUAAAGCGUGCGUAGGUGGUGGUUUAAGUCCGUUGUGAAAGCCCUGGGCUCAACCUGGGAAUUGCAGUGGAUACUGGGUCACUAGAGUGUGGUAGAGGAUAGUGGAAUUUCCGGUGUAGCAGUGAAAUGCGUAGAGAUCGGAAGGAACAUCUGUGGCGAAGGCGACUAUCUGGGCCAACACUGACACUGAGGCACGAAAGCGUGGGGAGCAAACAGGAUUAGAUACCCGUGUAGUCCCUGUCUCUUAUCAC